AGACGAACCGGACAAACGUUAUUCGGAAUUAUUGGGCUUAAAGGGUGCGUAGGCGGCGUGGUCAGUUGGGUGUGAAAUCCCUCGGCUCAACCGAGGAACUGCGCCCAAUACUGCCACACUCGAGGGAGACAGAGGUAGGCGGAACUGAUGGUGGAGCGGUGAAAUGCGUUGAUAUCAUCAGGAACACCAGUGGCGAAAGCGGCUUACUGGGUCUCUUCUGACGCUGAGGCACGAAAGCUAGGGUAGCGAACGGGAUUAGAAACCCGAGUAGUCC
rnacentral:rRNA from 1 species